rnacentral:rRNA from 1 species
CCCAGACUCCUACGGGAGGCAGCAGUGGGGAAUAUUGCACAAUGGGGGAAACCCUGAUCCAGCGACGCCGCGUGAGUGAAGAAGUAUUUCGGUACGUAAAGCUCUAUCAGCAGGAAAGAAAAUGACGGUACCUGACUAAGAAGCCCCGGCUAACUACGUGCCAGCAGCCGCGGUAAUACGUAGGGGGCAAGCGUUAUCCGGAUUUACUGGGUGUAAAGGGAGCGUAGACGGCAGCGCAAGUCUGGAGUGAAAUGCCGGGGCCCAACCCCGGAACUGCUCUGGAAACUGUGAAGCUGGAGUGCAGGAGAGGUAAGCGGAAUUCCUGGUGUAGCGGUGAAAUGCGUAGAUAUCAGGAGGAACACCGGCGGCGAAGGCGGCUUACUGGACUGUAACUGACGUUGAGGCUCGAAAGCGUGGGGAGCAACCAGGAUUAGAUACCCGUGUACC